rnacentral:ncRNA from 2 species
CGACCGCACUCUGGAGAGCUGGCGCCGCACGACCACUGCGGGCGCCCACCGAAGGGGCUCACGAACGGCGCGCACCGCUAUGCGCCCCGCUUCGCAAUCUCUCAGGUACCAAGGACAGAGGGGCCAUC